GUCUACAAACGUGUUCCAGUGCUGUCUUCUCCAGCAUCAAAGAGUUACUCAGUAAAGAUGAAUGCGCAGGAGCUAACAUCUGCCAUGCCAACGCAGAUUGCAUCGAUGGUGUCCUGAGCUACAGAUGCAACUGCAGACCAGGUUACCAAGGAAAUGGAUUUACUUGCAGUGACAUAGAUGAGUGCUCUACCGGUAGUCACAAGUGUCAUAGCCGAGCUAAUUGUACCAAUACCAUUGGAGGCUACACCUGUCGUUGCAGACCACCAUAUUCAGGCAACGGUUAUA